rnacentral:rRNA from 1 species
GAUGAACGCUGGCGGCGUGCUUAAUACAUGCAAGUCGAACGGAGGAUGUAGCAAUAUAUCCUCAGUGGCGAACGGGUGAGUAACGCGUUGGUGACCUGCCCCGAAGAGGGGGAUAACAGUUCGAAAGGAUUGCUAAUACCGCAUACGGUUGCGAGGAUUAGAGGCCUCACAACCAAAGGAGAAAUCCGCUUCGGGAGGGACCUGCGUCCCAUCAGCUAGUUGGUAGGGUAACGGCCUACCAAGGCGAAGACGGGUAGGGGACCUGAGAGGGUGGCCCCCCACAAUGGAACUGAAACACGGUCCAUACACCUACGGGAGGCAG